ensembl:snoRNA
AAGACUAUACUUUCAGGGAUCAUUUCUAUAGUUUGUAACUGGUGAAAUGUGCUCGAAAGUGUCAAACUCAGUAACCACGAUGAGGAGCUUCAGUGUUCUCUCCUGAGCGUGAAAAGUGUGCUCGGUGCUGCUUUACUGUAGCUGUCUUGUAUAGUUGAUGAUCGUUCUUCUCUUCUUCAUGGAGAGGUGGAGGGAGAGAACACAAGCUGAGUGGUU